UGUUCAGAAGCUAUGCCACAGCAACGGAUUUUUAACCCGUCAAGAGAUUAUAUUAAAUCCUGAGCAG
rnacentral:tRNA from 1 species